ensembl:snRNA U6 U6 spliceosomal RNA
GUGCUCGCUUCGGCAGCACAUACACUAAAAUGGGAACCAUUUAGGGAAGGUUAGCAUGGGCCUGCGCAAGGAUGACAUGCAAAUUUGUGAAGCGUUCCAUGUUUAA